UAAAAGGCAAUGAAAGUGUUCAGUAGGUUAUUGUACUUUUUAAAGAGAGAGGAAAUCAUCGGCUGAAAGUUUCCUUAAGGUAAGGCAGUAAUUGAAUUUCGCACGGAAGCUGCACAGGUGAAUGUCAGUAGUCUGUGACGUGAUACGCGUUAAGUAUUUAUAAGUGUCUAAUGAUUUAGAAAUCAGGGUGGUACCGCGGAGUAAUUUCGUCCCUAUG
rnacentral:ncRNA from 1 species